UACGGAGGGUGUAAGCGUUAUCCGGAUUCACUGGGUUUAAAGGGUGCGUAGGCGGGUAAGUAAGUCCGUGGUGAAAUCUCUGAGCUUAACUCAGAAACUGCCGUGGAUACUAUUUGCCUUGAAUAUUGUGGAGGUGAGCGGAAUAUGUCAUGUAGCGGUGAAAUGCUUAGAUAUGACAUAGAACACCAAUUGCGAAGGCAGCUCACUACACAAUCAUUGACGCUGAGGCACGAAAGCGUGGGGAGCAAACAGG
rnacentral:rRNA from 1 species